AGGAUCUAGAAUUAAUCCCUAAGAGCUGUGCCAGAUGACACAAUAACUUGAGGGAGGUAGAUGUCAUGCUCAGAAUCCUGUCUCUUGCCUGUCUCUGAGGCGUGGCUCCCAGCCACGUUUAUUUGUUUGUUUUCCUACCUUUGGGCCUCAUCCAAUUAGACCCCAGGCCGUCCUACCCACCUCAGAGCUCUGAUGUCAGCAGUUCUUUAAGCACAACAAAGCAACUAUAAAUCUUCAGGUGACCUCUGCGCCCAUUCAUGAGUGAAGUUCCUCUCCUGCUCCUUUCUGAUUAGGGGUGAGAACAUAUUGUAUGUGUUCCCAGCGACAGGAAGAAUACUUUCUAAAGGACAACUUCAGCCUUUGUUUCUUCAUAAAGGCAGCAAAAGACGCUAUAUGAAAUGUGCCAGAAAAUAAAGGACUGAGGACAUGCCACUUGGAUGGCACUGGAGUUGGCCUGUUUUCCAGAGUCACUGAGACGGGAACCAGCCUAAGGAGACAAGGCCAUCUGCAAGGCCCCAGGUCUAACAAGAUAAGACCCUAACAAGAUUGGCUGUAACCAAUUGGCAGGCUGGAGAAUCAGAUAGAGGCCGCCAAGAUGCACAUUCCGCACCCUCUGGGCUUGCCCGGGUUACCCAUGCACCCUAGCACCCAGAAGUGCACUGAAGCUGACUCUAGCCCCAUUAGCAUAGUAAAAAUCAGACCUGGGGUGGGGAGCGAACAUGCUAAUGAUACACGCAUCACAUGAGGUGGCAUGUUGAACAACACAGGAGCAAGGAAAGCCCCACCUCUACAUGCCACAACAAGGCGCUCCUCUCCAGCUUUUGCCUAACAAAAGCCCCAAAAUCCUGCUGCCCAACAAGCCUGUCACCUGCCCCUUUCCUUUCCACUCUGACUCCCUUCUGCCUCUCCUGUGCACAAGCU
rnacentral:lncRNA from 1 species